GACGAACGCUGGCGGCGUGCUUAACACAUGCAAGUCGAACGGAAAGGCCCUGCUUUUGUGGGGUGCUCGAGUGGCGAACGGGUGAGUAACACGUGAGUAACCUGCCCUUGACUUUGGGAUAACUUCAGGAAACUGGGGCUAAUACCGGAUAGGAGCUCCUGCUGCAUGGUGGGGGUUGGAAAGUUUCGGCGGUUGGGGAUGGACUCGCGGCUUAUCAGCUUGUUGGUGGGGUAGUGGCUUACCAAGGCUUUGACGGGUAGCCGGCCUGAGAGGGUGACCGGCCACAUUGGGACUGAGAUACGGCCCAGACUCCUACGGGAGGCAGCAGUGGGGGAUAUUGCACAAUGGGCGGAAGCCUGAUGCAGCAACGCCGCGUGCGGGACGACGGCCUUCGGGUUGUAAACCGCUUUCGCCUGUGACGAAGCGUGAGUGACGGUAAUGGGUAAAGAAGCACCGGCUAACUACGUG
rnacentral:rRNA from 1 species